AGUGGGAAGAGGGGCGGGACAGAGCGAUGCUGCCUGAACUGACAGCAAAUUUAAAUUACUGAGCUUUCUUUUCCUUUUUUUUUUUUUUUCCUUUUCCUUUCUUUGCGUGCCUUUUUUUAUUUUAUUUCUUUUUCUUUUUGGUAUUUUUCUACCCUGCGACAAAGUGAAAAGAUUCUAGCACACGCUAAUUUAACAGCCCUGCUUCGUCGUCUUCUUUUUUCUUUUUUUUUUCCCCCUUCUGCUUCCAGGAUAAUUAAAAGAGAAACCUGUAAAGGCAACGUUUCUUCAAGCAAGUUGGUGCUGCAACGUGCUGAUAUUCAGCUCUUUUCAACAGAAUAACAAGAAGUAGCUCAGCAAAGAAGAAGAGAGCAGGUGUGGAAGGCAGGGAAGAACAGUGGGACUCCUUCAAGACAGGAAAAAAAUCCUCUCCGGCAUGGGGAGACAAAGAAAGAAUAAGUUGCUUUGCUACCAAUGCCUACAGUGGAGGAGAUAAACUACAUUCCCACCAGCAGUUCUGUCUCUUUUUCCAUGCACCUCAUUUUUUGCAUAAGAGAAAAUUAUACUUUGUCAUGCUGUAUUAAAGAUAAUUAUCU